AGCGAACGCUGGCGGCAGGCCUAACACAUGCGGGUCGAACGAACUCUUCGGAGUUAGUGGCGGACGGGUGAGUAACACGUGGGAACGUGCCUUUUGGUUCGGAAUAACUCAGGGAAACUUGUGCUAAUACCGAAUGUGCCCUUCGGGGGAAAGAUUUAUCGCCAUUAGAGCGGCCCGCGUCUGAUUAGCUAGUUGGUGAGGUAACGGCUCACCAAGGCGACGAUCAGUAGCUGGUCUGAGAGGAUGACCAGCCACACUGGGACUGAGACACGGCCCAGACUCCUACGGGAGGCAGCAGUGGGGAAUCUUGCGCAAUGGGCGAAAGCCUGACGCAGCCAUGCCGCGUGAAUGAUGAAGGUCUUAGGAUUGUAAAAUUCUUUCACCGGGGACGAUAAUGACGGUACCCGGAGAAGAAGCCCCGGCUAACUUCGUG
rnacentral:rRNA from 1 species